AUGAAAAAUGCUUUCAGAAUGCUAGGAAGGUUAGAUGGGUCUGGGUUGGAACUGAGUGACUUUGUGUUAAGCCCUCAACUUUUCCACCCCUCUCAUCUUCCCCUCUGCAUUCACACCUCAGGGUGUGUGGAGAUCCACCCCCACUGGAAGGGCCAGAUGUCAUCGUGCCUAUCCUCAAGGAUGAUGGGUCCUACAUGCUCUGUGGAUUUUGGGCAGAUGAUGAUGUUGAAGCUCCAAUCUGGGCCUGUGCUGGGGCCUGGCACCCUACAACCCAGCAGCCCAUCUGCUGUGCUGAGGCCAUUGUGGUGAAAGAUGCCACCUACCAAAAAGAGAAAGUCAUGUUGGCAACUGCUGAUUGGGCUGAGGCUACCUCCAGGUAAAUCAACAGAUGUGUUCAGGGUGUUUUAGUAUGGACAUGGGGAGAUAUCAGACGUGAGGUGAGAGAAUGUGCCCUUUGUGUGAUUUAUAUCAUUCAGUUUUCCUCCCACAAUGACUGGAUGCACCUCUUGAAAGCUUCAUGUGCUGAGUUGCACUGUAACACUGUCCUGCUCACCGCCCAUUUACCCUCAAUGGGCCCCUGUAUAAAUUUCCCUGGAAACCUGUCACCUGUCUAGGUCACUCCUAAUGCCACUACUUCUGUGUGGCCUCUCUAAAAAGUGAGGGCCACUCCCUUGGUCCCUCUGCUUGUCCUUCAUCAGCAUCCCUGUGGUGCAAUGGUGAGACAGGGAGUGUGCGGUGCCUGAUGACACCACAGUGCUGAUGGAAAUGGGACCCAUCCCGAGACUGUCUGGAGUACUGAAGAGCUUUAGCUGGGUGGGAACAUUGCACCCCAAGGGGAUUCUUUCCCUGGAACUAGACAACUGGCUUCUGGCCAGCUUGUUCUUCUCUGUCCCAGGAUGCUGUAAGAGGGCCCUCUGGCCUUGGGCUGACAGACUCCUCUCCUAUUUUCCUGUCUCACCUUCUCUGCAUCCUGCUGGGUCUGCCCUGUCCCUGUGAGGCUCACUUUGAAUCAAGGGAAGAUCCAUUUUGAUGGCUGUUAGUGGAUCGUCCUGUCCCCAUUGUGUGACAGACCUUAAGGACUGCUAGGAAGGUUUGUGGAACUGGGUUGGAACUCAAUGAUUUUGGUUUAAGCCCUCAUCUUUCCCAAUCCUCUCAUCCUCCCCUCUGCUUUCACCCCUCAGGGUGUGUGGAGAUCCACCACCACUGGAAGGGCCAGAUGUCAUCGUGCCUAUCCUCAAGGAUGACAGGUCCUACAUGCUCUGUGCAUAUUGGGCAGAUGAGCAUGAAGCCCCAGUCCAGGCCUGGGCUG
rnacentral:lncRNA from 1 species